GACGAACGCUGGCGGCGUGCUUAACACAUGCAAGUCGAACGGAAAGGCCCUGCUUUUGUGGGGUGCUCGAGUGGCGAACGGGUGAGUAACACGUGAGUAACCUGCCCUUGACUUUGGGAUAACUUCAGGAAACUGGGGCUAAUACCGGAUAGGAGCUCCUGCUGCAUGGUGGUGGUUGGAAAGUUUCGGCGGUUGGGGCUGGACUCGCGGCUUAUCAGCUUGUUGGUUGGGUAGUGGCUUACCAAGGCUUUGACGGGUAGCCGGCCUGAGAGGGUGACCGGCCACAUUGGGACUGAGAUACGGACCAGACUCCUACGGGAGGCAGCAGUGGGGAAUAUUGCACAGUGGGCGGACGCCUGAUGCAGCAACGCCGCGUGCGGGAUGACGGCCUUCGGGUUGUAAACAGCUUUCGCCUGUGACGAAGCGUGAGUGACGGUAAUGGGUAAAGAAGCACCGGCUAACUACGUG
rnacentral:rRNA from 1 species